GCCGGCGUGGCGGAAUUGGCAGACGCGCUGGACUCAAAAUCCAGUAUCCGCAAGGAUGUGUGGGUUCGACUCCCACCACCGGCA
rnacentral:tRNA from 2 species